CCUACGGGAGGCAGCAGUGGGGAAUAUUGCACAAUGGGGGAAACCCUGAUGCAGCGACGCCGCGUGAGUGAAGAAGUAAUUCGUUAUGUAAAGCUCUAUCAGCAGGGAAGAAAAUGACGGUACCUGAGUAAGAAGCCCCGGCUAAAUACGUGCCAGCGGCCGCGGUAAUACGUAGGGGGCAAGCGUUAUCCGGAUUGACUGGGUGGAAAGGGAGCGUAGACGGCAGUGCAAGUCUGGGGUGAAAGGCGGGGGCUCAACCCCCGGACUGCUCUGGAAACUGUACGGCUGGAGUGCAGGAGAGGUAAGUGGAAUUCCUAGUGUAGCGGUGAAAUGCGUAGAGAUUAGGAGGAACACCAGUGGCGAAGGCGGCUUACUGGACUGUAACUGACGUUGAGGCUCGAAAGCGUGGGGAGCAAACAGGAUUAGAUACCCCGGUAGUC
rnacentral:rRNA from 1 species